AAUACAUGCAAGUCGAGCGGACGAUUCCUUGCUUGCUUUUGAAUCGUUAGCGGCGGACGGGUGAGUAACACGUGGGCAACCUGCCCUGUAGACGGGGAUAACACCUAGAAAUCGGUGCUAAUACCGGAUAACACGGAAGACCGCAUGGUUUUUCGUUGAAAGGCGGCGCAAGCUGUCGCUACAGGAUGGGCCCGCGGCGCAUUAGCUAGUUGGUGAGGUAACGGCUCACCAAGGCGACGAUGCGUAGCCGACCUGAGAGGGUGAUCGGCCACACUGGGACUGAGACACGGCCCAGACUCCUACGGGAGGCAGCAGUAGGGAAUCUUCCGCAAUGGACGAAAGUCUGACGGAGCAACGCCGCGUGAGCGAAGAAGGCCUUCGGGUCGUAAAGCUCUGUUGUUAGGGAAGAACAAGUACCGCAGUCACUGGCGGUACCUUGACGGUACCUAACGAGAAAGCCACGGCUAACUACGUGCCAGCAGCCGCGGUAAUACGUAGGUGGCAAGCGUUGUCCGGAAUUAUUGGGCGUAAAGCGCGCGCAGGCGGUUCCUUAAGUCUGAUGUGAAAGCCCACGGCUCAACCGUGGAGGGUCAUUGGAAACUGGGGGACUUGAGUGCAGAAGAGGAGAGCGGAAUUCCACGUGUAGCGGUGAAAUGCGUAGAGAUGUGGAGGAACACCAGUGGCGAAGGCGGCUCUCUGGUCUGUAACUGACGCUGAGGCGCGAAAGCGUGGGGAGCAAACAGGAUUAGAUACCC
rnacentral:rRNA from 1 species